GGGUAUGAUUGUAUUUAUUAUAUGAAGUUUAUGUUUAUUUUGAAAUGGUUUGUGUUUAUUCCAAUAUAAGUUAGUGUUUAUCAUUUCCUCUUAUUAUUUAUCUUGAAAGGAUCCUUGGAUGAUCUAAGUUUUGGACCUCGAGUUUGUAUUUAUCCUAGACUAUUUGUGUUUAUUGCUAUAGAUAUUUAUGUUUAUUAUAUACAGUUUGGGAUUAUAUAGAGUUUGUAUUUAUUCUGGGUUAGUUUGUGUUUAUCCUAUCAUAGGUUC
rnacentral:lncRNA from 1 species